UCACAUAAAUAAUACAGCUCUAUACAGUUAUUUAAAAAAUUUCUCUUAUUUCGCAUCGUUUCGACGCACGCGAUUAGUCUGCAUCACCCAAGGAUAUCUCUGGACUUAUUGCCUUGUUACGUCACUGGCCAGCUCAUAUCUGUGCAACCGCAGCUUCCAUGUACUCGACACGAUAAUGAUAGUGUCAGACUGUGAUGUACAGUAUAUUGAGGGUUCGUAAUCUGAAGGGCGUAACUCUAAUUCUGUGGAUUUCAAUUCAGUUUCUGGUAUAGGAUGUGUCCUACAGAAACGAGCGAAGUAGAGUACUAUCAAAUGACGUUUGUUCAAAUGCAAUGUGAUGUGAAAAUUUUUCCUUACUACGUCAAUCCGAGGAAACGCCCUUAUGACGGCAUGCAUAGGUGCGCUCGUACAGUUGCGCUUUUCUGAUCCCCAACCCACGAUGUAUUUGUAAUGAAUAAUUAGAAAUUACUUCUGCGAACGA